CACGCCGCCUCCACUGCUGAUAUCUACAUUUUCACUGUUGGGCUCUUUUACAGGGGUCUGGAACAAACACACAAGGAAAGCAACCCAUGAAAAAACAUUGCUACAGAGAAAUCAAGAUUUAACCACCAGAAAUAUUCUCAUAAAGAUCUUGAGAAAAAUGUACGGAAGAAGAUAAAGAGGCCAGUCAGCAUAUAUCCCACAACAAAAGAAUAUGGUUAUACAGGAAAUAUUCUUUCUCUGGAGAGAAAUCAUGACACAGAAAGCUGCUCGCCAAGAAGCACUCCUGUAUUUCCCAUACACUAAUUUAAAGCAUGUUUAUGUUUGAUGUUUUAACUCCUAACUUUACCAUAUUGAAAAGCGUAUGUAUGUGUAUGGGGAAAAAAUGGGAUCUCACAUUGGGGCCUGCCUAUAAGAGGAAGACUCCAGACUGAGAUCUUAAUUGGUGAUUCCAUACUUUUAAACCUCUAACUAAUGUGAUAACAAGGAAGAUCUAUCAACCACGGGGACACAGAUUAUAAGACUACAUAAACUUUAUUUUUUUUUUAAUGUCAAGAUUAAUGAGAAGACCAACGGAUACAGUGUAGACAGAAAAAAAAAAUCAAAAACAAUGGAGAAAACUAAAAAAUCCAGAAAGAGAAAGAACACAAGAGACAAGAGUAUUUCAAUAAGUGUUAUGAUACCAGGAUAUCAGCAGAUGUGGAAGGGCACAACUUUUGCUUUAGAGUUCCUGUGAAAAGCAGUAACUGGUGACAUUUUUCUGGUUUGAACACACAAUUAUAGUUAACAGAAUAGGGUCCUUGCUGCUUACCUACAUUUAGGCUAAUGAAGAACUAAGGCAGAGGGCGGCUGAUCUCCAGAGCUUCACAAAGGAAGCUGGUCACCAGAGGAACCAUUCGUGAUUAAAGAAUUAGAACUUUCAGCUGCCACUCCUCUACUUACCAGGAGGUGAACGGGACUAGAGAUUAAGUUUAAUCACCAGAGGCCAAUGAUUUAUUAACUAACUAUACCUAUGCAGUAAAACUCGGAUCAAAUCUCUGCAACAAUAAAGUUAGGGGACCUCUUCUAGGUUGGUGAACACAUCAAAAAUGCCCAGAGGGUGACAUACCCAGAGAUGGAUGGCAUGGAAGCUCUGUGUUCCCCAAUUCCCAUACGCUUCCUUUACAUCUCUUCUAUUUAGCUGUUCCU